rnacentral:lncRNA from 1 species
AAAAAAAUCACAAAACAAAAUUCCUAAUCAAAAGAAUGAGGAUUAAAUCUGGUAUAAAAAUUAAAUGAAAUAAAAUAAUGAGUGAUGAAAUUGAAAAAUAAAAUAAAUCAAGAAAAGGAUAAAAAACAAAAAAAAAUAUCAAUCAAAAGAAUGAUGACUAAAUUGGAUAAAAAAAACUAAAUAAAAUCAAAUAUCGAGGGAUGAAAUAAAAAAAUAAAAAAACUUCAAAAAAUAUUAAAAGAAAAACAAAUAGCAAUAAAAAAAUUAGGGACCAAAAUUGAUACAAAUACAAACUGAUAGGAAACAUUUAAUCCUUGAAAGGGUAGGCAUAAAACCUGAGGUGAAGAGAGAGAAAAUAGGAAGGAAAAGAAAAAAAACCUGCUGACACGCGCCC